AUUUUUCAUAUAUGUCCAGAUUGAGGUGAUGUUCUGACAGGAGAUCAGAACAAGAAAUAGCUGCAUGAUGAGAGUCCUAUGUGUUUCUUUCAGUGUGACCCAGCCCUCUUGCCAGAGCCAAACCACGUAAUGCUAAACCACCUCUAUGCACUCUCCAUUAAGGAUGGUGUCAUGGUACUCAGUGCCACACAUCGCUACAAGAAGAAGUAUGUUACCACUCUUCUUUACAAGCCUAUUUGAUCCCUGCAUCUCUCUGUAGGGGCACAAAGACUUGCUUUCUCCGCAUAUCCCAGAAUACCAGUGGGCAUGAGGGUGGGUAGUUGAUUUCCAGAUUCUUUUAUCAGAGGCAAAGGUUUGGAUGACCCAGCCCCUGUCCUGAUUUUUCUGGACAAUGAAAUCUUCUUUCCCAAACAGCUAUUUGGGACAUACAACUUGCAUCUCAUAGUGGCACAAAGCUAGUAAAAUCAAGUUUUGGGUGGGUUAUUGUUAUCUGUUAUAUAUUGCAAACUGUACACGUGGGGUUGGCUUCUUCCUGGGGAACAUUAAGAAAUAAGGAGUCUUGCCUUGCAAUCUUCCCCCUCCACAUUCAAAAGGAAAGAAAGUUCUUUGCCACCUUCUUUUCAAAUCAUAUGGCCAUUGUGUAUACGUCAGGGUGGCUGUAUGGAGCCUCCAGAUUUAGAGACUGCAUAUCUUUAAACGUUAACUACUGUGGAUAGCCCAUCCUCAAGUACUGAAAACCUCUUCUAGUAGGAAGUGAGGUGCUAGAUUAGGCACAUUUCUGCCCUAGCAUAGUAGGACUGCUCUUACGUUCUCAAUAUCUACUGCUGCAAAGGCCUUCACAUGUUUGCCCAGUUUUGUGGGUGUGAUAAGGCCCAGUCCUGGAUUGCCUGUAUAGCUGGACCACUAUGUAGCUUGUAGCUUCUGCACCAUUCAGAAGCAGUUUCUCCACUGUUGGGUACACCAAUGAAAGGCACUACAGUUGUGCUAGCUCCUGGGUUAAAUAGGUUUAUUCCAUCUGCUGACUAAUUGAGCCAAAAGACUCGAUUGUGCAGAAGAAGUGAUAUGGCUAGUUAUUGAAGAUAUUGGUUUUGGGCACAUGGAACAAGCACGCUAAGGGUGUUUCCACAUGGUUGCCAUUUUAUGGGAGAGAGGAGUUUUGGACUUCCCAGUGCUCAGAAGCAGCACAAAAACCUUCAUUUUCAAUGCUGCUGACCCGCAACACUGAGUCAAGAAGCAAUGGUCAGAGCUGUCUUAGGUUCUGGAGAAAGAAAAAGCCCCUCACCCCUCCACUCCACACAAUAAACAA